rnacentral:rRNA from 1 species
UGAGGAAUAUUGGUUAAUGGACGCAAGUCUGAACCAGCCAAGUAGCGUGCAGGAUGACGGCCCUAUGGGUUGUAAACUGCUUUUAUAUGGGGAUAAAGUGGGGAACGUGUUCCCUUUUGCAGGUACCAUAUGAAUAAGGACCGGCUAAUUCCGUGCCAGCAGCCGCGGUAAUACGGAAGGUUCGGGCGUUAUCCGGAUUUAUUGGGUUUAAAGGGAGCGUAGGCCGUUUGGUAAGCGUGUUGUGAAAUGUAGGAGCUCAACUUCUAGAUUGCAGCGCGAACUGUCAGACUUGAGUGCGCACAACGUAGGCGGAAUUCAUGGUGUAGCUGUGAAAUGCUUGGAUAUAAUGAAGAACUCCGAUUGCGAAGGCAGCUUACGGGAGCGCAACUAACGCUGAAGCUCAAAGGUGCAGGUAUCGAACAGG